rnacentral:rRNA from 1 species
GACGAACGCUGGCGGCGUGCUUAACACAUGCAAGUCGAACGGAAAGGCCCUGCUUUUGUGGGGUGCUCGAGUGGCGAACGGGUGAGUAACACGUGAGUAGCCUGCCCUUGACUUUGGGAUAACUUCAGGAAACUGGGGCUAAUACCGGAUAGGAGCUCCUGCUGCAUGGUGGGGGUUGGAAAGUUUCGGCGGUUGGGGAUGGACUCGCGGCUUAUCAGCUUGUUGGUGGGGUAGUGGCUUACCAAGGCUUUGACGGGUAGCCGGCCUGAGAGAGUGACCGGCCACAUUGGGACUGAGAUACGGCCCAGACUCCUACGGGAGGCAGCAGUGGGGAAUAUUGCACAAUGGGCGGAAGUCUGAUGCAGCAACGCCGCGUGCGGGAUGACGGCCUUCGGGUUGUAAACCGCUUUCGCCUGUGACGAAGCGUGAGUGACGGUAAUGGGUAAAGAAGCACCGGCUAACUACGU